GAUUUAUUGGAUCACCCAGGAGCAUGGCAUUGAUUUUAAUACUGAAUAUAACAAAGCUCGGGAUUUGUUCCGGAAGGGAGUUGCUAGGACGAAAAUAAAGAACAUGGCGAACUAUGCUAAGAAAAAGAUGGAGAUUGGGGAAUGGUUAAAGUUGCAAGUGGAUUGAGGCUCCAGGACCUGGAAGGAAACACUAGAUUCAUCUCUUUUGCACCUGAAGUCAGUCUAUAUGUUCUGUCAUCUCAU